GGAUUGUUAGCUCAGGUGGUUAGAGCAACCGGCUCAUAACCGGUCGGUCAUCCGUUCGAGUCGGAUACGAUCCA
rnacentral:tRNA from 1 species